AUUUUUGCCGAAUUCCUUUUUAUUAAUUUUAAUUAAUUUUAUUUUAUUUUUUUUUAUAUACUAAUUUUAUCAUUAUAACUAAUUUUUUAUUAUUAAAAAUUAUUUUUUUAUAUAAAUUUAAAUAUAAAUUUAAAUUUUAAAAUAAAUAAAAUUAUUUAUAAAAAAUUAUAAUUUAUAAAAAAUAUAAAUUUUAAAAUAUUUAAAUAGUUUAUUAACAUUAUAAAAAUUUAAUUUAAAGCUUAUCCCUUAAAAUAUUUAAUUAAAUAUAUAAUUUUUUACAAAAAAUUUAAAAAAUUAUUAAAUUAAUUUAAAAUUAAAUUUUUUUCUAAAAAAACUAGAUAUUUUUAAAAACGAUUAACAUUUCAUUUCAAAUUAAUUAUUUAAAAUAAUUAUGUCACAUUAACUUUAAUAAUUAACUAUCUCUUUUAAAUUCGAGAUAUUUUUAUUUAAAAAUAUUUUAUUAAUAAACUCUGAUACACAAGAUACAAUAAAUUAAAUUUACUUAAAUAAUAAUCCAUAUUUAACUUUAUUUCAAAAUUCUUUCACAAUACUAUUAAACUAUAAAUUAAUAAAUUUUUUCUAAAAAAUACUUUAACCCCCAUUAAUUAUUUUUUAUAAUUAUUUUUAUUAUUUAUUUUAUUAUAUUAAUUUUCCCCCA
rnacentral:rRNA from 1 species